rnacentral:rRNA from 1 species
UACGUAGGGUGCGAGCGUUAAUCGGAAUUACUGGGCGUAAAGGGCUCGUAGGUGGCCAACUAAGUCAUGCGUGAAAUCCCUCGGCUUAACCGGGGAACUGCGUCUGAUACUGGAUGGCUUGAGUUUGGGAGAGGGAUGCGGAAUUCCAGGUGUAGCGGUGAAAUGCGUAGAUAUCUGGAGGAACACCGGUGGCGAAGGCGGCAUCCUGGACCAACACUGACACUGAGGAGCGAAAGCCAGGGGAGCAAACGGG